AACGAACGCUGGCGGCAUGGAUUAGGCAUGCAAGUUGAACGAACUCCUUCGGGAGUGAGUAGCGGAAGGGUGAGGAACGCGUGAGUAAUCUGCCCCCCAGUUGGGAAUAACAGUUGGAAACGACUGCUAAUACCGAAUGUGGCUUAAGCUUCGCCUGGAGCUUUGGCUAAAGAUUUAUCGCUGGGGGAUGAGCUCGCGUCCCAUUAGGUAGUUGGUGAGGUAACGGCUCACCAAGCCGACGAUGGGUAGCUGGUCUGAGAGGAUGGUCAGCCACACUGGGACUGAGACACUGCCCAGACUCCUACGGGAGGCUGCAGUCGAGAAUCUUGGGCAAUGCGCGAAAGCGUGACCCAGCAAUGCCGCGUGUAUGAUGAAGGCCCUCGGGUCGUAAAGUACUGUCUCCCGUGACGAAAUUUGACGGUAGCGGGGAAGGAAGCCACGGCUAACUACGUGCCAGCAGCCGCGGUAAUACGUAGGUGGCGAGCGUUGUUCGGAUUUAUUGAGCGUAAAGGGUCUGUAGGAGGUUUGUUAAAUACGGGGUGAAAUCCCGAAGCUCAACUUCGGAAUUGCCUUGUAGACUGAUGGACUAGAGUACCGGAGAGGUAAGCGGAAUACCAGGUGUAGCGGUGGAAUGCGUAGAUAUCUGGUAGAACACCAAAAGCGAAGGCAGCUUGCUGGACGGAAACUGACUCUGAAAGACGAAAGCAUGGGGAGCAAACA
rnacentral:rRNA from 1 species